AGGGGUUUCAGGAUGAAGGUCCAUGCUGA
rnacentral:piRNA from 1 species